rfam:Schistosoma mansoni strain Puerto Rico chromosome 6, complete genome
ACCCAGCUGAAGAGUCCAAAAUUGGACGAAGCGACGCGCGUCCUGGAU